AAGUCGUAACAAGGUUUCCGUAGGUGAACCUGCGGAAGGAUCAUUACCGUAAGAAACUAGGGUUUGAGACUGUGUCCGUUUGGGACGUGUGCUCGACCCUUACUCUUAUCCACACACACCUUUGUGCACCAUGGGGACGUGAGUGCCCCUUUUCACACGAAUACCAAGUUAUAUGCAUGGUUAUAUGAACUCUACGGAGUAACAUACAACUUUCAACAACGGAUCUCUUGGCUUUCGCAUCGAUGAAGAACGCUGCGAACGUGCGAAACGUAAUGUGAAUUGCAGAAUUCAGUGAAUCAUCGAAUCUUUGAACGCAUCUUGCGCUCCUUGGUAUUCCGAGGAGCAUGCCUGUUUGAGUGUCGUGAACUACUCUCGAUUUCAAUCUUUUGGUUUGAAAUUGGAUUUGGGUGUUGUCGUGUCAAACGACUCAUCCUAAAUGCAUUAGCGAUCUGCCCUUGAUCACAUGUGAUGUGAUAAGAAAAAGCAUGACUAGAUCAAGUGCUCGGGUUGCUUCUAAUCGUCGAAAGACAAUGACAUGUCAUCUGACCUCAAAUCAGGUAGGACUACCCGCUGAACUUAA
rnacentral:rRNA from 1 species